rnacentral:rRNA from 1 species
UGGGGAAUUUUGGACAAUGGGCGAAAGCCUGAUCCAGCAAUGCCGCGUGUGUGAAGAAGGCCUUCGGGUUGUAAAGCACUUUUGUCCGGAAAGAAAUCCUUGGCUCUAAUACAGUCGGGGGAUGACGGUACCGGAAGAAUAAGCACCGGCUAACUACGUGCCAGCAGCCGCGGUAAUACGUAGGGUGCAAGCGUUAAUCGGAAUUACUGGGCGUAAAGCGUGCGCAGGCGGUUUGCUAAGACCGAUGUGAAAUCCCCGGGCUCAACCUGGGAACUGCAUUGGUGACUGGCAGGCUAGAGUAUGGCAGAGGGGGGUAGAAUUCCACGUNUAGCAGUGAAAUGCGUAGAGAUGUGGAGGAAUACCGAUGGCGAAGGCAGCCCCC